rnacentral:rRNA from 1 species
AACGAACGCUGGCGGCAUGCCUAACACAUGCAAGUCGAACGGGACCUUCGGGUCUAGGGGCGCACGGGUACGUAACGCGUGGUAACCUGCCCUUAGGUUAGCAGUAACUGCCCUAAAGGGGUGCUAAUACCGGAUAAUGUCUUCGGACCAAAGAGUUAUCGCCGUUGGAUGGGCCCGCGUUGGAUUAGCUGGUUGGUAGGGUAAAAGCAUACCAAUGCGACGAUCCAUGGCUGGUCUGGGAGGAUGCUCCGCCGGAACUGGACUGCGACACGGCCCACACUCGUACGGGAGGCAGCAGUGGAGAAUAUUGGACAAUGGGCGCAAGCCUGAUACCGCAAUGCCGCGUGAGUGAUGAAGGCCUUAGGGUUGUAAAGCUCUCUUACCCGGGAUGAUAAUGACAGUAACGGGAGAAUAAGCUCCGGCUAACUACGUG